UACGUAGGCGGAUCAGAAAGUAUGGGGUGAAAUCCCAGGGCUCAACCCUGGAACUGCCUCAUAAACUCCUGGUCUAGAGUUCGAGAGAGGUGAGUGGAAUUCCGAGUGUAGAGGUGAAAUUCGUAGAUAUUCGGAGGAACACCAGUGGCGAAGGCGGCUCACUGGCUCGAUACUGACGCUGAGGUACGAAAGUGUGGGGAGCAAACAGGAUUAGAUACCCUGGUAGUCC
rnacentral:rRNA from 1 species